AUGGGGCGCGACGUGCUGGCGGCGAGGGGCCUCACGACGGAGGAGCGGUGGACGGGAGUGCAGGUGCUGUUUGGAUUCUUCCUCCUCUACCGGGUGCUCUACUGGGUCGUGCUCAGCCGGAGAGCGUCCAGAGCCAAGAGUGUGUGUGAACGCAUGCAUGGAGAAGAAGGAGCCGCCGCCGACCACUUCGAGUUGCCCACCGCACGCAACCCCAAGGGCCGCUCCGACCUCCCCGGCAUUGACGUUUUCGUCUCCACCGCUAACCCGGAGAAGGAGCCGCCGCUUGUCACCGCGAACACCAUCCUCUCCAUCCUCGCCGUCGACUACCCGGUCGAGAAGCUCGCCUGCUACCUCUCCGACGACUGCGGCGCACUCCUCACCUUCGACGCGCUCGCCGAGACCGCCAGCUUCGCGCGCACGUGGGUGCCGUUCUGUCGGAAGCACGGCGUCGAGCCGCGCUGCCCGGAGUCAUACUUCGGCCAGAAGCGGGAUUUCCUCAAGAACAAGGUGCGGCUGGACUUCAUCCGCGAGAGGCGGAAGGUGAAGCGGGAGUACGACGAGUUCAAGGUGCGGGUCAACUCGCUGACGGAGGCGAUCCAACGGUGCUCCGACGCGUACAAUGCCGGCGAGGAGCUGCGAACAAGAAGGCGCCUUCAAGAGGAGGCCGUGGCUGCCGGUGGCGCGCUGGGAGCAGCUUCGUUGGCAGAGAGCCAGAGACUAGGGCCGUGA
rnacentral:rRNA from 1 species